rnacentral:rRNA from 1 species
GAUGAACGCUGGCGGCGUGCCUAAUACAUGCAAGUCGAGCGAACGGACGAGAAGCUUGCUUCUCUGAUGUUAGCGGCGGACGGGUGAGUCACACGUGGAUAACCUACCUAUCAGACUGGGAUAACUUCGGGAAACCGGAGCUAAUACCGGAUAAUAUUUUGAACCGCAUGGUUCAAAAGUGAAAGACGGUCUUGCUGUCACUUAUAGAUGGAUCCGCGCUGCAUUAGCUAGUUGGUAAGGUAACGGCUUACCAAGGCGACGAUGCAUAGCCGACCUGAGAGGGCGAUCGCCCACCCUGGAACUGAGACACGGACCAGACUCCUACGGGAGGCAGCAGUAGGGAAUCUUCCGCAGUGGGCGGAAGCCUGACGGAGCAACGGCGCGUGAGUGAUGAAGGUCUUCGGAUCGUAAAACUCUGUUAUUAGGGAAGAACAGAUGUGUAAGUAACUGUGCACAUCGUGACGGUACCUAAUCAGAAAGCCACGGCUAACUACGUG